UGUCCCAUGGCUUAGUUGGUUACGGCGUCAGACUGUUAUUAACGGCCGAGACGCGGACAUGACAUCGGAAGAUCGAGAGUUCAAGUCUCUCUGGGACAG